CUCUAAAAUACCCGGGUCUUCCCCAGUCAUGGAGCUCGAUCUUCUGCGUUGACUGGCCCAUGACGUCACGAUGGACAUGCACACUAGCAACAGUUUGUGUUGUCGUAGCAACACUGCCAGUUCAUGAGCUUCUUUCUCGUGUCUCUUACA